GAUGAACGCUGGCGGCGUGCCUAAUACAUGCAAGUCGAGCGAAUGGAUUGAGAGCUUGCUCUCAAGAAGUUAGCGGCGGACGGGUGAGUAACACGUGGGUAACCUGCCCAUAAGACUGGGAUAACUCCGGGAAACCGGGGCUAAUACCGGAUAACAUUUUGAACCGCAUGGUUCGAAAUUGAAAGGCGGCUUCGGCUGUCACUUAUGGAUGGACCCGCGUCGCAUUAGCUAGUUGGUGAGGUAACGGCUCACCAAGGCAACGAUGCGUAGCCGACCUGAGAGGGUGAUCGGCCACACUGGGACUGAGACACGGCCCAGACUCCUACGGGAGGCAGCAGUAGGGAAUCUUCCGCAAGGGACGAAAGUCUGACGGAGCAACGCCGCGUGAGUGAUGAAGGCUUUCGGGUCGUAAAACUCUGUUGUUAGGGAAGAACAAGUGCUAGUUGAAUAAGCUGGCACCUUGACGGUACCUAACCAGAAAGCCACGGCUAACUACGUGCCAGCCGCCGCAGUAAAAC
rnacentral:rRNA from 1 species